ensembl:lncRNA
CACGUUCUUCUCUAGCAAACUCAGUAAACGGCUUUACGCUGAGAAAUUUCAAACUUAACAAGUAGCACAUGUGCUGUGGCGUGGCUAAGUCUCCCGCAGAGGCCCAUGUGGUAAAGGCUUGGUUUGCCAGCCUAUUGAACUCUUUGGGGAUGGACUCCUUGGGAGGCAGGGCCCUGUGGAAGGACUAAUGCGCUGGGGCGUGCCCUGGAGAGGGAUAUUGAGGCUGUGGCUCUUCCUGUUGCUUUCUGCCUCCUGGCUGCCCUCAGACUGCUGUCCAUGACAUUUUCACAGUGAGUAAAAAAUCCUAGACAAGCAUCGGAAGAUGGAGACUCUGAGGAUGGCUCUGUGACGCGAGUGCCAGCAGUGUGAUUCUGGACCAAGCGCCCCGUGGCCCCGCGCUCCAUUGCUUCCCCCCAAGCUCAGGCGCAAUGUGCAAUCCCAUGGACUGGGACGCGCACUUUCUAAGGGAGGAGUCAAUUAGCCGGACGUAAAUUACUUCUGAGACCCAGGGAGAGGGCUGACAUUAUCCACACCAUUUCCCGGAGGAGGAACUGAAGUGGAGAGAGGUCAAGUGCCUUGACCAAGAUUAUAUAAUGGCCUCGUCAGGAGUAAAGUUUGGGGUUUCUUUUCUGUCUCUGCUUACUGAAAAAAUCGUCCCAAGCUGUCACCUUGCAGAAUGACAGGACGAGAGCACGUGACACGGGCAUGCUCAGGGGCACUGCUGGCCAUGGGAGCUGGACCCCACCACUGGACAGAACACCUCGCAGGAUUCCCGAUCACCCUACCCACACACGUCCCAUGAGGCCCUGGAGAGUCCUGGCGGGGUGCGGGAGACCAGACUCUCAUGUGACGAACUGGCCGGAAGGGGCCUCUCUCUCCUCUUUCCUUCUACUCUCGCUACCCCGAGAGAUUCUCUAUAUGACGAACUAAAAGGGGAAUUGACUCAGAAGUACAAAGGGCUCCGUCUUAUUAUAUGAAGAUUUCUCCAGAGUUUGUUUUCAGAUCAUUAAAUACUCAACAGUGGGAGAAACUAAAAGCGCCAAUGUUCUAAGCCACCCCCUGGCAGAAUAUCAAUCAGAAAUUAAAGUCAGGUGCAUCCUGAAGCAAAGUGACCGAAAAGACACACCUUGCUGCAUGCUGAAUCGUUCUCAGUUUUGUGCAAAGGAGCUGCCUAGCGCAGUGCUGGACCACCGUGACCACAGACGUCAGCCUGCGGUCACCCCGACUUCCUUGGCAGGCUGCACCUGACCGCCCUGCCCCAGGGUGGCCUCCACUGUGGACAGAGGCCUUCCCUAGCACUUCACAGUCUAGUGCCCACGGAACCCUGCCACACACACAGUAGACAGGAGAAUGAAUCAAAUGCAGUUCUGACCCCUUCAGACCACGGGUCCAUUUUGUUUUCCCUUCCUUUCCUCCCCUCUCCUUCUUUUCUUCUCUUUCUCUGUGAACCUUGGGAAGAGGAGCCUGAGGAAGAUGUGCUCCGGAGCAUCUCUCCUGUCUGAGAUGCUCAACUGAAAAUGAGAACCAGCAGGGCCUAUCCUACAAAGAGGCGGUCGGCCACCCCUGGCCUGCUGGGGUUUCCGCAGUCCCUCGGGCCAGUGCCCCCAGAAACCGAAAGGAAAAAUCCUCCCCAUUCAGCCUGGCCUCCUCAGCUUCCCCUCCCAGCCCCAGGCCCAAACACUUCCCCCAAGGUCCAUGACCUUUCUGCUGUCAGAUCCAGCGGAAGCAUCUCUGUAUUCAUCUCAGUACUUUAUCCUCCACCUUUUCCUGGGAGCCAGGGCUUCCAGAAACGGCUGGGCGGUUGGCUUUGGCGAUGGUCCUUCUCCUGCUCUUUGCUUGCCUCCCUGCAGUCCCUUCCCCACUUACCCUGCAGGUUCCAUGGCUGCCCUGACCCUUUAGGGCUCGGCCUCAGGGACUUUCCUUCCCCACAGCCCCUCCUGGGUGUCUCCGUCUGUCCCUGUUGUUCUCCUGCAGCGACAGUCCUCGCCGCUGGCUCUGUGUGGUGUCCCCAACUGCCCGUGACCUCUCUCCUUGGCAGCUCGCUGCACUUGCAGGACGGGCCCACAUGGAAACCUUUCCUCCCUGAGGACGGCUUGGACUCAUCUUGGUUCCUCGCUCCCCCUCACCUCAAGAGCCCUGUGCACCUGCAGUCUUCCGAGUCUUAUCUCCAAAUACAUGCGCAUGCUGCGAACUCAUCUGCACCUUUCUUUUUUUCUGUACUGGGAAUUGAACCCAGGGCCUUUGCACUGAGCUACAUCCCUAGGCCUUUCUUAUUUUACUUUUGAGACAGGGUCUCACUAAGUCACUAAGCUGCCCAGGGUUUGAAUUCGUGAUCCUCUGCCUCAGCCUCCCAGAGUUCUGGGAUUGGGGGUCUGCACCACUGCGCCUGGCUAUCUUCACCUUCACUUUCACUACAGUGGUUCAAGAUACAGGGCAGCCUGUAGGAGGAGGCAACUGGUGUGGGAUGCUCGGGCCAGUCACAGUCAAACAUAGGCCACCGGGUGGACCUCUUUCUACACCCUUGGGGAGACUGCUGACGACAAACAUUUCAAAGAUUAGGGAGCUGAGGCGUAGAUGAAUCGAGUAACUUUCUCGGACUCCUGAGCUGGUGAGAAUGUGGACAACUGCUUAGAUCACUGCAGACUGGAUUCUAGUGCUCACCAACGCUUCCGCACGGCGCACACCCAGGGAAGAAGGAUCAUGCACAGAUGGUGCGCUGGCGUCCACGUGGGGUCCCCUCAGGUCUCACACCCCAGGCCCCUCCCUGAGGCUGAG